CAAUAGCGUAUAUUUAAGUUGUUGCAGUUAAAAAGCUCGUAGUUGGAUUUUGGUUAAGAGGGCGCGGUCGGCCGUUUGGUCUGUACUGCGUUGUCUUGACUUCCUGAUGAGGACAUGCUCUUGGUUAACGCUGAGACAUGGAGUCAUCGUGGUUACUUGAAAAAAUUAGAGUGUUCAAAGCGGGCUUACGCUUGAAUAUAUUAGCAUGGAAUAACACUAUAGGACUCCUGUCCUAUCUCGUUGGUCUCGGGAUGGGAGUAAUGAUUAAGAGGAACAGUUGGGGGCAUUCGUAUUUCAUUGUCAGAGGUGAAAUUCUUAGACCCACGGAAGACGAACUACUGCGAAAGCAUUUGCCAGGGAUGUUUUCACUGAUCAAGAACGAAAGUUAGGGGAUCGAAGAUGAUCAGAUAC
rnacentral:rRNA from 1 species